rnacentral:rRNA from 1 species
UCCUUCGGGAUGAGUAAAGUGGCGCACGGGUGAGUAAUGCAUAAGAACAUGCCCUUAGAUGGGGAAUAACGUUUGGAAACGAACGCUAAUACCGCAUAAUCUCGAAAGAGUAAAGGUGGCGCCGUAAGGGCUACCGUCUGAGGAUUGGCUUAUGUCCCAUUAGCUAGUUGGCGGGGUAAUGGCCCACCAAGGCGACGAUGGGUAUGUGGUCUGAGAGGAUGAUCACACACACUGGAACUGAGACACGGUCCAGACUCCUACGGGAGGCAGCAGUAGGGAAUAUUGCACAAUGGGGGAAACCCUGAUGCAGCAACGCCGCGUGAGUGAAGAAGGCCCUUGGGUCGUAAAGCUCUUUAGCGAGGGAAGAGGGUUCGUACGGUGAAUAAUCGUACGAGCUGACGGUACCUCGAGAAUAAGCACCGGCUAAUUUCGUGCCAGCAGCCGCGGUAAUACGAAAGGUGCAAGCGUUACUCGGAAUCACUGGGCGUAAAGCGCACGUAGGCGGACUUGUAGGUCAAUUGUGAAAUACCUGGGCUCAACCCAGGAACUGCAGUUGAAACCCCUUGUCUUGAAUACUUGAGAGGGUGGGGGAAUACCUGGUGGAGAAGUGAAAUUCGUAGAGAUCAGGUGGAACACCGGAGGCGAAGGCGCCUGCCUGGCAAUGUAUUGACGCUGAGGUGCGAAAGUGCGGGGAGCAAACAGGAUUAGAUACCCUGGUAGUCCGCACCGUAAACUAUGAAUACUAAGUGU